UGAGGAAUAUUGCACAAUGGGGGAAACCCUGAUGCAGCAACGCCGCGUGGAGGAUGACGCAUUUCGGUGUGUAAACUCCUUUUAUAUGUCAAGAAAAUGACGGUAGCAUAUGAAUAAGCACCGGCUAACUCCGUGCCAGCAGCCGCGGUAAUACGGAGGGUGCAAGCGUUAUUCGGAAUCACUGGGCGUAAAGGACACGUAGGCGGGUUGGAAAGUCAGAUGUGAAAUCCUACAGCUUAACUGUAGAACUGCAUUUGAAACUUCUAACCUAGAGUAUGGGAGGGGGAGAUGGAAUUAGUGGUGUAGGGGUAAAAUCCGUAGAUAUCACUAGGAAUACCUAAAGCGAAGGCGAUCUCCUGGAACAUAACUGACGCUAAGGUGUGAAAGCGUGGGGAGCAAACG
rnacentral:rRNA from 1 species